GGUUAACACGGACGGUAAAUACUGGUAUAUCAUGGAGAAUAACGCCAAGGUUAACACGGACGGUAAAUACCGGUUCAUCAUGGAGAAUAACGCCAAGGUUAACAUGGACGGUAAAUACCUGACAGUGUACAUCACGGAGAAUAACGCCAAGGUUAACACGGACGGUAAAUACUGGUGUAAGGGGAGAACAUUUUUUAUAUAAAAAAAAAAAAGAAAUAAGUUGUAUCAGAUGGGAUUCGAACCGGGUGCCGAGAGAAGGUCGAGUGUGAUGGACGAUAGGCAUUAACCUCUGCGCCAUUGAGACUCUGCAACUACGUAGAUAUUUUUGGUAUUCUGUGUGUCUGAUUAUUAUUGUAAAAUUAAUUAUAAUUGACUUUGAAGAGUAUUAUAUUCUAUUAAUUUUGGGUAAAAGUAUCUCUUGUUGAGUUAAAAUAAUUUCGUGUAAUAUUUUUCACACUUAUGAAGACGGUCAGUGAUUGGUCAGUGUGUGUAAUAAUAGAACCUGCUAUUGGCGGUAUUUUUGCACGAGAUACAGAACAACAAAGACGUGUCUGAUGUUGUGUAAGUUUUUGGUGAUAUAUUUGUCAUUUUCAAGUACACAAUAAUUUGUCAGUGAAUAUUUUGAGUGCAUAGAUUCACUAUAUCGUGUGCAAGGUAUUGUAAGAGAUUCUUUGCUAAACAAUGCUGUUAGGAAGCAGAAUUCAAUAUUUAGCAUUUGCUUUAAUCAGACAUAUAGAAUUGAGAACUAGUUUGUAGCUUAAUGUUUUCUAUUUAUACUUAAUGGGAGAAUAUAAUUGAGUUUUACAUACAUGUACUUCGGUGACACAACGGUGUUUGAGUUAUAUGUGUGUUUCAGUAUAUUUACAGUGUUUAUUUUAUUAAUAGGUCUAAAUGUAGGUGAUCAGUGUAUUACGUUGACCUUGACCUGUCGUGGUGGCCAUUUUUUGGGCCGGAUAUUGCGUGCCUUGUUUAGGAGCACUGUCAUUGAUUCAUUCAUUGAUUCAUCAUUGAUUGAUCACAUUACACUACAACUGUGAAUAAAAGGUGAAAAGAA